rnacentral:rRNA from 1 species
UGGGGAAUUUUGGACAAUGGGGGAAACCCUGAUCCAGCCAUCCCGCGUGUGCGAUGAAGGCCUUCGGGUUGUAAAGCACUUUUGGCAGGAAAGAAACGUCAUGGGUUAAUACCCCGUGAAACUGACGGUACCUGCAGAAUAAGCACCGGCUAACUACGUGCCAGCAGCCGCGGUAAUACGUAGGGUGCAAGCGUUAAUCGGAAUUACUGGGCGUAAAGCGUGCGCAGGCGGUUCGGAAAGAAAGAUGUGAAAUCCCAGAGCUCAACUUUGGAACUGCAUUUUUAACUACCGGGCUAGAGUGUGUCAGUGGGAGGUGGAAUUCCGCGUGUAGCAGUGAAAUGCGUAGAUAUGCGGAGGAACACCGAUGGCGAAGGCAGCCUCCUGGGAUAACACUGACGCUCAUGCACGAAAGCGUGGGGAGCAAACAGG